GACAGAGGGUGCAAACGUUUGUUCGGAAUUACUGGGCGUAAAGCGUGUGUAGGCAGCCGUGCAAGUCGGGUGUGAAAGCCCCGGGCUCAACCUGGGAAGUGCACUCGAAACUGCAAGGCUUGAGUCCUGGAGAGGAAGGCGGAAUUCUCGGUGUAGAGGUGAAAUUCGUAGAUAUCGAGAGGGACACCGGUGGCGAGGCGGCCUUCUGGACAGUGACUGACGCUGAGACGAACGAA
rnacentral:rRNA from 1 species